GGAGAGUGUGUGCUUUGGAUUCAAGGCUGGGAAUGAGUAGACCAGAAAUCUAUUCUGUGGCUGUUUCUUGCUAGGAUUUUCCUAAGCCUCUGGAAAAGCGCAAAGUACAAUUAACAUUUGAGUCUGUCUGAGUCAUGAAGAAAUGGAGAUUACUCUUAUUACUGAAAAUAAUUCAUUUUGGUAUCUUCUUACAUCCUGAGAGCCUAAUCUUUCCAAGUUCAUCUAAGGCUCCUCUUCUCCAUGACAACCUCAUCCAGGGAUUUCUUCCUGUCCUGGUGUUUUAUGACAUAAUCACAUCCUUCCUGAGAUAAUGAGCACACAAUUGCCUGGAUACCUGAAGGAAUGGAGACAGCAGCAGAAAACACUGCAGAGAGGUGGAAACAUCCGUUAAUAUUUUAAAAUCCCAUUACUGCUACCAACAAUAAUAAUGGAUGCAUAGAAAUAGAUCUGGAUUCACUGAGCUUGAAACAGUCCAUCUCACACACACACAAAAUAAUUUCAGAUACAGUGAACCCACAUGUUGAAGCUUUCUAGUAUAAUAACAAUUUCAACUCUUCUGUUGAAUCAUCUGUCCUGAUUGGAGGCUACAGAAAAGAUGUCAUUUUAGGACUGCUUGCUCUGAGUGAGGCUCAUCUUCAAAUCUGAAUGACCACAAGGAGAUUUGAUUAUACAUGUGAACACCUCAGAAGGCACAGCCCGCCCAGAAGGCAGACAGGUCAGGCUGCUUUUUUUCAUUGGUUGGAUUCAAUCCUCUGGCGGCUCAGACACAACUUAAGCAUGAUUAAACUUUAGAAGAAGCUGCCAGGAAGACUGUGAAAUCUUCAUGCCCAAGGAUCCCUAAAAUUAGGAAUGACAACAACUUGGCUCAGACAGUUUAUGGAGGCAAAGGUUUGAAUGGGAUUAGAGAUUUCUAAAUGUGAGUUCGUGUCCUCUGCCAGACCACCUUACUUCCACCAUUCCUCAACAAAUCAAGAAAAACAGGAGUAAAGACAUGCCUUUCCAUAGGUUAAAUCUAUUCUGUUUUAAUUCUAUAUUAUAUCUGCAGUACAACUUCUUUUGUUUGUAACACCAUAUUGUUGCUAGUAGCUGGAAAUUAAUUUUCACAUGCCUCAGCUUAGAAAAAUAAAAAGCAGCCCCGCAUCAAUCCCAA